GAGUUUGAUCCUGGCUCAGAACGAACGCUGGCGGCGUGCCUAACACAUGCAAGUCGAACGUGAUCCAGAGCUUGCUCUGGUGAAAGUGGCGCACGGGUGAGUAACGCGUGGAUAACCUACCCUGGUAUCCGGGAUAACAUUCCGAAAGGGGUGCUAAUACCGGAUAAGCCCACGGGCUCUUUGGAGCUUGCGGGAAAAGGUGGCCUCUAUUUAUAAGCUACUGUAUCAGGAUGGGUCCGCGUACCAUUAGCUAGUUGGCGGUGUAACGGACCACCAAGGCGACGAUGGUUAGCUGGCCUGAGAGGAUGAUCAGCCACACUGGAACUGAGACACGGUCCAGACUCCUACGGGAGGCAGCAGUGGGGAAUUUUGCGCAAUGGGGGAAACCCUGACGCAGCAACGCCGCGUGAGUGAUGAAGGCCUUUGGGUCGUAAAGCUCUGUCAGAGGGGAAGAAAUGAUAUAGUGCUAAUACCACUUUAUCUUGACGGUACCCUCAAAGGAAGCACCGGCUAACUCCGUGCCAGCAGCCGCGGUAAUAC
rnacentral:rRNA from 1 species